rnacentral:rRNA from 1 species
AGAACGAACGCUGGCGGCAGGCUUAACACAUGCAAGUCGAGCGCCUCGGCAACGGGGAGCGGCAGACGGGUGAGUAACGCGUGGGAACAUACCCUCCGGUUCGGAAUAACUCAGGGAAACUUGAGCUAAUACCGGAUACGGCAACCAAGAGAGAUUUUGGCGGCGAAAGAUUUAUCGCCGGAGGAUCGGCCCGCGUCCGAUUAGCUAGUUGGUGUGGUAAUGGCGCACCAAGGCGACGAUCGGUAGCUGGUCUGAGAGGAUGAUCAGCCACAUUGGGACUGAGACACGGCCCAAACUCCUACGGGAGGCAGCAGUGGGGAAUAUUGGACAAUGGGCGCAAGCCUGAUCCAGCCAUGCCGCGUGAGUGAUGAAGGCCUUAGGGUUGUAAAGCUCUUUCGCUAGGGACGAUAAUGACGGUACCUAGACAAGAAGCCCGGCUAACUUCGUGCCAGCAGCCGC